AGAUCCGCUGUAUCUUCAAACAAUCCCAGGAACGUUCAGGGCCCUCAAAGACGUGAAUGUUGGUACUAUAGCUGUCGUCCCUAGUCUUUCCUUCGAGGAAACAGUCUCUGGUGGAAUCACAACAUAUACACCUAUCUCAAUUUUCAAAUGUGACUUUGUGAUGGACAAGUAUUUCUAUAAAGUCAACUGGACUAUACAUGGAGAACAAAUCCACUCUCUCGAGCAGAAUACAUCCGUUGGGACACAUUUCGAAGUUUCAGAAUCACACUUGUUUGAGAUGAACAUUUCAAUGCCAU